rnacentral:rRNA from 1 species
AUUGAACGCUGGCGGCAUGCCUUACACAUGCAAGUCGAACGGCAGCGCGGACUUCGGUCUGGCGGCGAGUGGCGAACGGGUGAGUAAUACAUCGGAACGUACCCUGUUGUGGGGGAUAACUAGUCGAAAGAUUAGCUAAUACCGCAUACGACCUGAGGGUGAAAGUGGGGGACCGCAAGGCCUCACGCAGCAGGAGCGGCCGAUGUCUGAUUAGCUAGUUGGUGGGGUAAAGGCCCACCAAGGCGACGAUCAGUAGCUGGUCUGAGAGGACGAUCAGCCACACUGGGACUGAGACACGGCCCAGACUCCUACGGGAGGCAGCAGUGGGGAAUUUUGGACAAUGGGGGCAACCCUGAUCCAGCAAUGCCGCGUGUGUGAAGAAGGCCUUCGGGUUGUAAAGCACUUUUGUCCGGAAAGAAAUCGCGCUGGUUAAUACCUGGCGUGGAUGACGGUACCGGAAGAAUAGGCACCGGCUAACUACGUG